GGAUCCUGAGUACGGCGGAACACGUGAAAUUCCGUCGGAAUCCGGGAGGACCAUCUCCCAAGGCUAAAUACUACCUAGUGACCGAUAGUGAACCAGUACCGUGAGGGAAAGGUGAAAAGCACCCCGGAAGGGGAGUGAAAUAGUUCCUGAAACCAUGUGCCUACAAUAAGUCAGAGCGCGUUAAUGCGUGAUGGCGUGCCUUUUGUAGAAUGAACCGGCGAGUUAUGAUCCCGUGCAAGGUUAAGACUAAAAAGU
rnacentral:rRNA from 1 species